AUGAACGCUGGCGGCGUGCCUAAUACAUGCAAGUCGAGCGAACAGACGAGGAGCUUGCUCCUCUGACGUUAGCGGCGGACGGGUGAGUAACACGUGGAUAACCUACCUAUAAGACUGGGAUAACUUCGGGAAACCGGAGCUAAUACCGGAUAAUAUAUUGAACCGCAUGGUUCAAUAGUGAAAGACGGUUUUGCUGUCACUUAUAGAUGGAUCCGCGCCGCAUUAGCUAGUUGGUAAGGUAACGGCUUACCAAGGCAACGAUGCGUAGCCGACCUGAGAGGGUGAUCGGCCACACUGGAACUGAGACACGGUCCAGACUCCUACGGGAGGCAGCAGUAGGGAAUCUUCCGCAAUGGGCGAAAGCCUGACGGAGCAACGCCGCGUGACUGAUGAAGGUCUUCGGAUCGUAAAACUCUGUUAUUAGGGAAGAACAAAUGUGUAAGUAACUAUGCACGUCUUGACGGUACCUAAUCAGAAAGCCACGGCUAACUACGU
rnacentral:rRNA from 1 species